rnacentral:rRNA from 1 species
CCUACGGGCGGCAGCAGUGGGGAAUAUUGCACAAUGGGGGAAACCCUGAUGCAGCGACGCCGCGUGAGUGAAGAAGUAUUUCGGUAUGUAAAGCUCUAUCAGCAGGGAAGAAAAUGACGGUACCUGAUUAAGAAGCCCCGGCUAACUACGUGCCAGCAGCCGCGGUAAUACGUAGGGGGCAAGCGUUACCCGGAUUUACUGGGGGUAAAGGGGGCGUAGACGGCAGCACAAGUCUGGAGUGAAAUGCCGGGGCUUAACCCCGGAACUGCUUUGGAAAGUGUGCAGCUAGAGUGCAGGAGAGGUAAGUGGAAUUCCUAGUGUAGCGGUGAAAUGCGUAGAUAUUAGGAGGAACACCAGUGGCGAAGGCGGCUUACUGGACUGUAACUGACGUUGAGGCUCGAAAGCGUGGGGAGCAAACAGGAUUAGAUACCCGGGUAGUC